CCUACGGGAGGCAGCAGUGAGGAAUAUUGGUCAAUGGACGAGAGUCUGAACCAGCCAAGUAGCGUGAAGGAUGACUGCCCUAUGGGUUGUAAACUUCUUUUAUAUGGGAAUAAAACGUUCCACGUGUGGGAUUUUGUAUGUACCAUAUGAAUAAGGAUCGGCUAACUCCGUGCCAGCAGCCGCGGUAAUACGGAGGAUCCGAGCGUUAUCCGGAUUUAUUGGGUUUAAAGGGAGCGUAGGGGGAUUGUUAAGUCAGUUGUGAAAGUUUGCGGCUGAACCUUCAAAUUGCAGUUGAAACUGGCAGUCUUGAGUACAGUAGAGGUGGGCGGAAGUCGUGGUGUAGCGGUGAAAUGCUUAGAUAUCACGAAGAACUCCGAUUGCGAAGGCAGUUCACUGGACUGCAACUGACACUGAGGCUCGAAAGUGUGGGUAUCAAACAGGAUUAGAUACCCGAGUAGUC
rnacentral:rRNA from 1 species